rnacentral:misc_RNA from 1 species
GAAGUGUUCAUGUUGAUUUCCCUGUUGAUGGCUUGGUCGAUACCUCUAUUGAGAAGCUUUAUGAGAAUGUUUGUGAUAUGCAAAGUUCGGAUCAGUCACCUUCAAGGCGUAGCUUUGGCUCUGAUGGUGAGGAAUCCAGGAUUGAUUCUGAACUGAAUCAUCUUGUUGGAGGAGAGAUGAGGGAGGUAGAGAUAAUAAAGGAGGAAGAAGAUAUUGUUGAG